rnacentral:rRNA from 1 species
AAUGGGGGAAACCCUGACGCAGCAACGCCGCGUGAGUGAUGAAGGUCUUCGGAUUGUAAAACUCUGUCUUCAGGGACGAUAAUGACGGUACCUGAGGAGGAAGCCACGGCUAACUACGUGCCAGCAGCCGCGGUAAUACGUAGGUGGCAAGCGUUGUCCGGAUUUACUGGGCGUAAAGAGUAUGUAGGCGGAUAUUUAAGUCAGAUGUGAAAUUCCCGGGCUUAACCUGGGAGCUGCAUUUGAUACUGGAUGUCUAGAGUGCAGGAGAGGAAAGUGGAAUUCCUAGUGUAGCGGUGAAAUGCGUAGAGAUUAGGAAGAACACCAGUGGCGAAGGCGACUUUCUGGACUGUAACUGACGCUGAGAUACGAAAGCGUGGGGAGCAAA